CCUACGGGAGGCAGCAGUGGGGAAUAUUGCACAAUGGGGGAAACCCUGAUGCAGCGACGCCGCGUGAGUGAAGAAGUAAUUCGUUAUGUAAAGCUCUAUCAGCAGGGAAGAAAAUGACGGUACCUGAGUAAGAAGCCCCGGCUAACUACGUGCCAGCAGCCGCGGUAAUACGUAGGGGGCAAGCGUUAUCCGGAUUUACUGGGUGUAAAGGGAGCGUAGACGGGAGUGCAAGUCUGGAGUGAAAGGCGGGGGCUCAACCCCCGGACUGCUCUGGAAACUGUACGGCUGGAGUGCAGGAGAGGUAAGUGGAAUUCCUAGUGUAGCGGUGAAAUGCGUAGAUAUUAGGAGGAACACCAGUGGCGAAGGCGGCUUACUGGACUGUAACUGACGUUGAGGCUCGAAGGCGUGGGGAGCGAACGGGAUUAGAUACCCGAGUAGUC
rnacentral:rRNA from 1 species